rnacentral:rRNA from 1 species
AGUGAACGCUGGCGGUAGGCCUAACACAUGUAAGUCGAACGGCAGCACAGGAGAGCUUGCUCUCUGGGUGGCGAGUGGCGGACGGGUGAGGAAUACAUCGGAAUCUACUCUGUCGUGGGGGAUAACGUAGGGAAACUUACGCUAAUACCGCAUACGACCUACGGGUGAUAGCAGGGGACCUUCGGGCCUUGCGCGAUUGAAUGAGCCGAUGUCGGAUUAGCUAGUUGGCGGGGUAAAGGCCCACCAAGGCGACGAUCCGUAGCGGGUCUGAGGAGAUGAUAAGCCUCACUGGACAUGAGACACGGUCGCGACUCCUACGUGCGGCAGCAGUGGGGAAUAUUGGACCAUGGGCGCAAGCCUGAUCCAGCCAUACCGCGUGGGUGAACAAGGCCUUCGGGUUGUAAAGCCCUUUUGUUGGGAAAGAAAUCCAGCUGGCUAAUACCCGGUUGGGAUGACGGUACCCAAAGAAUAAGCACCGGCUAACUUCGUGCCAGCCGCCGCCGUAA